UUUGGUGUCAUUAUUGCCCCCGGCUGCUUGGACUGCUAGCGAGUAGCAUCGUAGCCAUUGAAUUGGGUCUUGCUUGCCAUCAUACUUGGUGAUUCCUGUUGGCUUGAACUUCUCGGGUAGUCUAGUCUUCAUUACCCUAUUUGUGAAAGCAGGAAAGUGGUUGUAGUUGUCGACUUCUCGCUCACGCCGACUGUUGAGUAUUUCUCG
rnacentral:lncRNA from 1 species